ACACGUAUGGGGCAAGCGUUAUCCGGAUUCAUUGGGCGUAAAGCGCGUGUAGGCGGCUUGUUAAGUCAGAUGUGAAAACCGGGGGCUUAACCCGCGGCGUGCAUCUGAAACUGGCAGGCUUGAGUCUGGUAGAGGAAAGUGGAAUUCCUAGUGUAGCGGUGAAAUGCGCAGAUAUUAGGAGGAACACCAGUGGCGAAGGCGGCUUUCUGGGCCACGACUGACGCUGAGACGCGAAAGCUAGGGGAGCAAACAGGAUUAGAAACCCUAGUAGUCC
rnacentral:rRNA from 1 species